CCUACGGGUGGCAGCAGUGGGGGAUAUUGCACAAUGGGGGGAACCCUGAUGCAGCGACGCCGCGUGGGUGAAGAAGCGCCUCGGCGCGUAAAGCCCUGUCAGCAGGGAAGAAAAUGACGGUACCUGAAGCAGAAGCCCCGGCUAACUACGUGCCAGCAGCCGCGGUAAUACGUAGGGGGCAAGCGUUAUCCGGAUUUACUGGGUGUAAAGGGGGCGCAGACGGCGAUGCAAGCCAGGAGUGAAAGCCCGGGGCCCAACCCCGGGACUGCUCGUGGAACUGCGGGGCUAGAGUGCAGGAGGGGCAGGCGGAAUGCAUGGUGUAGCGGUGAAAUGCAUAGAUAUCAGGCGGAACACCGAUGGCGAAGGCGGCCUGCUGGACUGCAACUGACGUUGAGGCCCGAAAGCGUGGGGAGCAAACAGGAUUAGAUACCCUUGUAGUC
rnacentral:rRNA from 1 species